AAUGCAAGAAAAGUUUAAAGUUAAAAAGCAAGUCAGCAGAGAGAUGAAGCGGCUUCGCCCUGGUAAGGCAGCAGGUCCGGACAAGGUGUGCCCAAGAU